CCCACAGCCUUGUCAGGAACAGGAGGAGAACCUCAUCCUAACAUGAGCAAAGUCGAAGGCCCAGUUUUUUAAAAGAUCGGAUGGGGGGAGAGGCCCUCACAACUGCCCUUGUGUGCCCCCACGCCUUGUUAGAAAUAGGAGGAGAAUCUCAUCCUAACAUGAGCAAAGUCGAAGGUCCGAUUUCCUAAAGAUCGGAUGAGGAGAGAGGCCCUCACAACGGCCCUUAUGUGCCCCCACAGCCUUGUUAGGAACAGGAGGAGAAUCUCAUCCUAACAUGAGCAAAGUCAAAGGCCCAAUUUUCU
rnacentral:lncRNA from 1 species